AGCUCCGUUCUGACUGCUCCUCCUCCAGCUGCCACCGCCACCGCCACUGCUGCUGCUGCUGCUGCGGCAGCUGCUGCAUCUGCAACCUGCAACACUCACACCACGGCAACAGAAGUAGACGCGUCGCGUUCAGUCCUCGUCCUGCGGCGUAACGUCAUGUCGCGUAGUGUUCGGCCGCAUAAAAAAGCAAGCCAGACUGUAAGGUGACUGAACCGAUCCUUAACCCAUCACCAUCCUCCUCCCCACUCAAGUGCCGUGGAUGUGUGUCAAUUAAAAAGUCUCGUCUCAGUGAGUCGCGUGUUUAAUUUGCGGCACGUCUCCCACACACUCUCACCGACAAUUUAAUUAAAACGCCACAGACAGACCCAUAAACAUCGCCCAACUAUCCCACCGACCGACCACCGCGUGCAACUCAAUGUUAAACACAAUAUUGCGGCCAAAACCGAGCUGAAACGACCAGAUCAAUUCCCAGCCAGAGAGCGAAAGAGAUGGAGGGAUUGAUGGAGAAAGAGAUAGAGGAUGGCCAAAACCUAGCCCCAAAAAUCGAUAAAAUGAAUCGUUUAAGCAAUGCGGUCAAAUGAACCUAAAUGGAAUUUUCAAUUUUCGGGUGGGCAACACUAAACCUACCAACCACUAAUGGGUGAAAAUUCUCAGGAUAUGGUCACAACUUUGUAAAGGAAACAAGA